rnacentral:rRNA from 1 species
UACGAAGGGGGCGAGCGUUGUUCGGAAUUACUGGGCGUAAAGGGCGCGUAGGCGGCCCCUUUUGUCGCGUGUGAAAGCCCCGGGCUCAACCUGGGAACGGCGCGCGAAACGGGGGGGCUUGAGUUCGGGAGAGGAGAGUGGAAUUCCCAGUGUAGAGGUAAAAUUCGUAGAUAUUGGGAAGAACACCGGUGGCGAAGGCGGCUCUCUGGACCGAGACUGACGCUGAGACGCGAAAGCGUGGGGAGCGAACAGG